rnacentral:misc_RNA from 1 species
GCAAAAUUAACGAAACAAAUCAUUACAAAAGAAAUAACAAUUUUACUGUAGUUUCCUCAGAAAAACUAGAGUCCAUCGUCGGUGCUUUGUCUCUUCCUUUCUUCUUCCUAUCUCUUCUCCAUUUCUCACGCCCUUUUGACUUCCAUGUCACUCUGUUUUCCUCUCCUCUAAAACACCCCUCCCCCCAUUACUCAAAAGAAAAGAGAGGUUGAGCUUAAUGGGUCCAGACAAUAGCUUCACAGCUCAGAAAAGAGCUGGUGGAGCACUACCCACUACCGCCACACCCAACGGCGGCGCCGGAGGAGGACGUGCCAGCUCCAUUUUACCUCGGGGAAGACAGAUCCAACGUACUUUCAACAAUAUUAAGAUUACUAUUCUUUGCGGCUUUGUUACUAUCCUUGUCCUACGUGGCACAAUUGGUUUCGGCAAUCUCGCUUCAUCAGGACCUGAUGUUGAGAACCUGAAUCUAAUUGAGGAGACGAACCGGAUCAUAGCCGAGAUCCGAUCCGAUAAGGACCCGGAUGACUUCUUCACCCUUAAUGCAACGUACAGGUUAGGACCGAAGAUUACCGCCUGGGAUGAAGACAGGAAACUCUGGCUUCAGAAAAACCCUGAAUUCCCUAAUUUUGUUCAAGGUAAGCCUCGUGUUAUGCUAGUAACUGGUUCGCCGCCAAACCCUUGUGAUAAUCCAAUUGGGGAUCAUUACUUGUUGAAGGCUAUAAAGAACAAAAUUGAUUAUUGUAGGAUCCAUGGGAUUGAGAUUGUUUAUAAUUUAGCUCAAUUGGAAAUGGAAAUGGCUGGGUAUUGGGCUAAACUGCCGUUGAUUCGUAGACUAAUGUUGUCACACCCUGAAGUAGAGUGGAUAUGGUGGAUGGAUAGUGAUGCUCUAUUCACUGAUAUGGUCUUUGAGAUCCCUUUUAACAAGUACGAAGAUCAUAAUCUUAUUAUUCAUGGCUACCCAGAUCUAUUGUUUGAUCAGAAAUCAUGGGUUGCGGUAAACACGGGUAGUUUCCUCGUAAGGAAUUGCCAGUGGUCUCUUGAUUUGUUGGAUGCAUGGGCACCAAUGGGGCCGAAAGGUCCUGUUCGUGAAGAAGCUGGGAAGGUGUUGACAGCUAACUUGAAGGGUAGACCAGCAUUUGAAGCAGAUGAUCAGUCUGCGCUAAUAUACUUGCUGACCUCACAGAAGGAUCAGUGGAUGGACAAGGUGUUCAUUGAAAAUUCUUACUAUCUACAUGGAUAUUGGGCAGGGUUAGUUGAUAGGUACGAGGAGAUGAUUGAGAAGUACCAU